rnacentral:ncRNA from 1 species
AGAACUGAUAAUCCAAAAAGUGGAAUGAAGGGGUAACGCCCUGAAACGCUUUCCCUGAUACUCCGGCUGGCAUUUUCAGGAAACCGAUUAUGUCAGAAGCCCGGCGAAGUCGGCAGAGAGCAGCCCAAACGGAUAAAGCCGUGGAAAGUGUCCCAGAGGUGGGAUAUGCUGCCUAUAUGCCGGGGGUCUAUAAA